rnacentral:rRNA from 1 species
UGUGUGUUACAAGUGUCACACGGGAACUGCCGGUCAUAAACCGGAGGAAGGUGGGAUGACGUCAAGUCAGCAUGGCCUUUAUAUCCUGGGCUACACACACGCUACAAUGGGAAGGGACAAUAGGUUGCGAAGCCGCGAGGCGGAGCCAAUCCAGCAAACUUCCCUCAGUUCAGAUUGCAGGCUGCAACUCGCCUGCAUGAAGUUGGAGUUGCUAGUAAACGCAGGUCAGCCAUACUGCGUUGAAUACGUUCCCGGGCUU